AAUUCCGGGGCUUAACUCCGGAUUGUCAUCUAAAACUGUGUAUCUUGAGUGUCAGAGGGGAAAGUGGAAUUCCUAGUGGAGUGGUAAAAUGCGUAGAUAUUAGGAGGAACAUCGGUGGCGAAGGCGACUUUCUGGCUGACAACUGACGCUGAGGCGCGAAAGCGUGGGUAGCGAACAGGAUUAGAUACCCUGGUAGUCCACGCCGUAAACGCUGAUUACUAGGUGUAGGGGGUAUAGACUCCCUCUGUGCCGCAGUUAACGCAUUAAGUAAUCCACCUGGGGAGUACGGCCGCAAGGUUAAAACUCAAAGGAAUUGACGGGGGCCCGCACAAGCAGUGGAGUAUGUGGUUUAAUUCGAAGCAACGCGAAGAACCUUACCAGGGCUUGACAUCCUCGGACGACACUAGAGAUAGUGUUUUCUCUUCGGAGACUGAGAGACAGGUGGUGCAUGGUUGUCGUCAGCUCGUGUCGUGAGAUGUUCGGUUAAGUCCGGCAACGAGCGCAACCCUUAUUGUUAGUUGCCAUCAUUUAGUUGGGCACUCUAGCGAGACUGCCGUUGACAAAACGGAGGAAGGUGGGGACGACGUCAAAUCAUCAUGCCCCUUAUGUCCUGGGCUACACACGUACUACAAUGGUAACAACAGCGAGCAGCGAAGCCGCGAGGCGAAGCAAAUCUUCAAAUGUUAUCUCAGUUCAGAUUGCAGGCUGCAACUCGCCUGCAUGAAGCAGGAAUUGCUAGUAAUGGCAGGUCAGCAUACUGCCGUGAAUACGUUCCCGGGCCUUGUACACACCGCCCGUCACACCAUGAGAGUCUGUAACGCCCGAAGUCAGUAGUUUAACCGUUUACGGAGGACGCUGCCGAAGGUGGGACAGAUGAUUGGGGUGAAGUCGUAACAAGGUAACCGUA
rnacentral:rRNA from 1 species